GUGUGUCCGUGCGCGAGUGAUUUCGCUAAAUUCUACCGUGGAGAGCGAAAACAGCCUGCUGUGCAAACAUAACCAGCUGGAGCUUUUUCCGGACCUAAAGAAAGUGCCCAAGGACGGAACCAGAAACUAAAAACUACUGGGCAUGAAUCGAUUGCUACACAGAAAAAAAUAAUGACAAUUAUGUGUCAUUGAAAAUGGUCGUCUUUAAAAUAAAACAACAUGUAAUUUCAAAAACAUAUAGUUUUAAAUGCAUUUGUUUGAAUUAGAUUUUGUCCAACAAUUUUCAAUUGCACUUAUAGUAAAGCGCCUGGCAUCCCAGUUUGGUAUCGAAAAAUAAACGUCAGACGGAAGAGAUUUUGUUUAGUCUCGUUGUUGUUUUGUUUCGGUUCAGUUUUUGCUUAGUGCCACAGAAAAUCCGGUGUACGUCGUCGUGGCGGGUCGUGUUGGCAUCUGCAAGGUUGGGCAGAAAAAGUACGGAUUGAAAGAACAGCCGUUGUCCGUCCUCUCGAUCUGCAGCAGCGGCUGUGCUUAAACGCAGGGUGAGAAAAGCAAGAGGAAUCUCCAUAAGCAACAUCUAGCAGUACACCGACCGCACAAAAGAACAUUCGACGUGAUGAAAUUUGUACUGAGGCGACUACAGAUGGUUGUUCCGAAAUUUCAUAACAUGUCCAUCUAUCCAUUGGAAACGAUUGCUCGAAUUUCGAUGACGAAUUCCGAGGAGUCGGACGAUAAUUUGAUGCUGGCAGGCAUAAACGUAAGGAUCGGAAAUUGCAUCAACUGGAAUUAUUUCAUCACGCACUAAAAGUCGACUAGGUGCCCUAUUUUGCUAGUUUUGGAUCAUAAAAUGUGAUGGAAUAUUGAAAUGAAAAGAAACCUGGGCAUUCAAAAACUGAGGAUUACUGCAAAAGAAGCUGCCAACACUAUAAGCAAAACAGAUUUUUGUCGCAAUGUUAACCGUUUCGAGGAACAGGACCAAACCCUACAAAACAACAUCGUAAGCAGAUUGAAAUCAACCUCGUCGUUCCACUUGAUGUCGAUGAGUUUAUGAAUUUCAAGUAAUCUACUCCUCGGAGGAGGUGACCCAUGCCAAGAAGUGUCGUGAAACCCAAAAGACAGCUAGAGCGAUUCGUAAAUCUUGUGCGGUAGCCUUCGAAGACGAUCCUAUUGCCGAAAGUCGUUAAAAUUCAGGAGGGAAACAAGUGAUCAGUAGUGUUGAAGUGUUCUUGAAGAUGCUGCAUGAAAUGAACAAAUAGCCGAAGUGUCACAGGAAUUAUGAAAUUUUACAAUACAUGGGAAACCGCACCGCUCGCUCGUCUCAAUCGAUUGGUGCCGUCUCGGAAGAACCCGAAACCCUUUUUUUCAGCAGCAAUAGCUACAGUUUUAGUAGAAGUUGGACGUUCAUCUCCAACCGCAACAGCAGCAGCGAAAAACAGCAACAUUCGCAACAAUGCACAGCACAAUCAUUCGCUGCACACCGCAUUCAGCUCUUGAUAGUUCCGGAGUUUGAGAUCCCGUGCCCCAGGUGCUCCGCCAAAAUUGGCUUCCUUGCCCUGUCCGCAGCAUGAACGAAUCAUCACCAUCCGCUGGAAACUAUCCGAUUUAACGGAUUUAACCAACUCCUUCAAUUGAGCAACCUAGUUGUUGUGUCCACCCCGGUUUCCAAGAUUUCACCAUGCCCCAGCCUACGUCAAGUGCCAACAGUGCUGAAAAUCUGCGGCUACAAAGUGCUGUUGUGUUACGAAGAUUUCGACAACGAUUCGACGAAGAACUAAGGAUUCAACCGGAAGUGCAUCCGUUCGGCUGGCGUGCAACUCGAGGAAAACCUCCGAUUUCAUUGAAAAAUGAAUAGGGAAGAUUUUUCUUGAAAUGGUUGAGAAACGAACGCAUACUUCCGCGUGCAUUCCACAACAAAAUCAGCGAAAGCUUCAAGUUGUAGACAAAAACUGGCAGUCAGGUUAAGGUGGUCGCGAUACGACAUUCUGAUGCAUCACAAUAGUUUCUGGUACAACUAAAACGCCAUUGGAUGGGCUACCAUCAUCCGCCACGGCGAAAGAAUACUGUGAGAAUAUAUUUAUCGGAUGAACGGUAUACACGUGAUCAGUUUCCCAUCUAAGCGAGGACGACAGCCCAAUGGAAAUAGUAUAGUCUACCAGAUUGGCAGACCCGAUUCGAGGGAGGUAUGGAGCGAAAGAAGAUUGACCCACUGAACCGUUCGUUGUCCCAGUCGGCUUUUGCCUUUGCAAUAAGACUGAAGCCGCUUAUUCUCUACGAACAGAUGUUUUUGAAUUUUUAUAAGGCAUAAGCUUAAGCCGCAUGAAACAUAUAUCAGCGACGGAGGGACAGAAGCAAUGUGCAUUCGCGAAUCAUCUACAUAAGUCGCCAAGUCUAAAGAAAGACUGCAAGCAAGCACCUGGUCUCCUCCGAAAUGCUCCGUUCCGAAUCUAGAAAUUUGCGGUUUUAUCGCCGAAAUUGAAGAUGACAGCGCAUCAGAGGGCGGAUUCCAGUGGCCACAGCGAAAACUGAUAGUCCUGACACAGUUUUUUCUAUGAAAAGCCUUUUUCUUAUUUAAUACAUAUUUUUCUUAUCAAAUCAAAAAGAGAUCAUAAAAAUGAAAAGUGGAUCAGAAAUAUUCCAAGUAUAAAAUCCCAGAUCAC